AUUCUAAUUAGAUUGAAGGUUUAUAUAU
rnacentral:sRNA from 1 species